rnacentral:lncRNA from 1 species
GGUAGUCGGCCAUGGGUGAGGAGGGAGGGCGUGUGCGUGCGUGUGUGUGAGGAGAGAAGAGAAGAGGAGAGAACGUGUGUGUGUAGAGAUCGUGUGUGUAUGUGAGAGAGAGAGAGAGAGAGGAGAGAACGGAGAGAUAGGAAAUGGCGAGAAUUCUUCGGUUUUGUGUUGGCGGAUGGUGAGCGACAAAAGGGGAAAGAAAGGAAAGGAGAGGAGACGAGAGUAGAGUAGAGUAGAGUAGGGUGGUAGUAUGCA